ensembl:lncRNA
AGUUAAACAAUGGCGGACACCACUUCGUUUUAUAUGUCUUUUAUUCGUGUUUCUAGGUCACAAAAUACACUUUUAAGAUAUUUUCAGGCGAGAAUGUAGGUGUGUAAACUUCAAAUAUCUGCUCGUUUUAUCAAGACAUCCCAUAUUAGCGACAAUUCUCUUAAGUGUUGCUGAUAGCCGGCUAGCUAGCUAGCGCCGCUAGCUUAGCUAGCUAGCGCCCCUUCGUGAAAAACCACCCAGGCUUGGCUGAUAGUGAGGUGGCUAAAAUUUGUUUAAUCGCCCGAUCGCUCGGCAAGGGUCUGUGUCUUAGCUGGACUUAUUUUUCGUUUAUAUGGGCCGAUGAUGCUGGUCGAUGUGGAAAAAAUAACUGAGUUGUUUGGUGGUGGAGCUACAACAGAGGGCAGCUAUCCACCGGUGUGUGACAGAAAGGACAUGCCGCGAACGAGACAUACAAGGCGGUGAGGCUACCGCCGAUCGUCCGGUGUUUGCUAACGCGGAGGUCAAUCGUGGAUCAGGGAAAGCGAAGGCAGGAGCGUGAGGUGAACUGAAUUUCAGCUACAACAGAGGGCAGCUAUCCACCGGUGUGUGACAGAAAGGACAUGCCGCGAACGAGACAUACAAGGCGGUGAGGGUACCGCCGAUCGACCGGUGUUUGCUAACGCGGAGGUCAAUCGUGGAUCAGGG